UAGCACACUACGUCGACGCCACGCAGGC
rnacentral:sRNA from 1 species